AGCAGUCGCCACGGUAAUACGUAGGGUGCGAGCGUUAAUCGGAAUUACUGGGCGUAAAGCGUGCGCAGGCGGUUGUGUAAGACAGGUGUGAAAUCCCCGGGCUUAACCUGGGAACUGCGCUUGUGACUGCACAGCUAGAGUAUGGCAGAGGGGGGUGGAAUUCCACGUGUAGCAGUGAAAUGCGUAGAGAUGUGGAGGGACACCGAUGGCGAAGGCAGCCCCCUGGGCCAAUACUGACGCUCAUGCACGAAAGCGUGGGGAGCAAACAGGAUUAGAUACCCCGGUAGUCCCUGUCUCUUAUAC
rnacentral:rRNA from 1 species